CCUACGGGAGGCAGCAGUAAGGAAUCUUGGUCAAUGGACGAGAGUCUGAACCAGCCAAGUAGCGUGAAGGAUGACUGCCCUCUGGGUUGUAAACUUCUUUUAUAUGGGAAUAAAACAGGGUAUGCAUCCCAUCUUGUAUGUACCAUAUGAAUAAGGAUCGGCUAACUCCGUGCCAGCAGCCGCGGUAAUACGUAGGAUCCGAGCGUUAUCCGGAUGUAGUGUGUUUAAAGGGAGCGUAGGUGGAUUGUUAAGUCAGUUGUGAAAGUUUGCGGCUCAACCGUAAAAUUGCAGUGGAAACUGGCAGUCUUGAGUACAGUAGAGGGGGGCGGAAUUCGUGGUGUAGCGGUGAAAUGCGUAGAUAUCACGAAGAACUCCGAGGGCGAAGGCAGCUCACUGGACUGCAACUGACACUGAUGCUCGAAAGUGUGGGUAGCAAACAGGAUUAGAUACCCGUGUAGUC
rnacentral:rRNA from 1 species